ACGGGGGGAGCAAGCGUUGUUCGGAAUCACUGGGCGUAAAGGGCGUGUAGGCGGUCAAGUAAGUGGGAUGUGAAAUGCCCCGGCUCACCCGGGGACCUGCAUCUCAAACUGCUUGGCUCGAGUAUGGGAGAGGAUGAGGGGAUUCCUGGUGUAGCGGUGAAAUGCGUAGAUAUCAGGAGGAACACCGGUGGCGAAGGCGGCUGCCUGGCCUAAGACUGACGCUGAGGUGCGAAAGCGUGGGGAGCGAACGGGA
rnacentral:rRNA from 1 species